AUAUUUUAUUCCCUUAUUUUCCAUGGCAACAAGAAGGCAUCUAGCUUCAGGACAGGUCUCUGCCCAAAGGACCUUCCAGUUCUGAGCUUGAGAAAAAGCAGAGGGCAAAGACAAAUCCGGAGAAAUAAAGUGAAUAUAAAGCAGUGCGGCCGUGAAUCUGGUUCUACUGAAACACAAGGGCUGAUGAAAAACAAAGAUCAGCUUUCUACUUCCACCCCACCCUUGCGUAAUAUUCAAAGAUUCCUCCUUUGAAGAUCACACAUUGAACUGAGCAAGCCAGUCAGAGAGCCUUCUCUGGUGUGGUUUUUUUCCCAGUGGCAGACACACCCCACCAAAACAUCUUCAACCUCCUCUCAUAUAAUAACAUUCACAUUAUGAUGCUUCAAGCCCUGAGGUGUGUAUACGUGCGUAUGUCAGGAAUAAAUUAAUAACACAC